rnacentral:rRNA from 1 species
GACGAACGCUGGCGGCAUGCCUAACACAUGCAAGUCGAACGGCAGCACAGAGAGCUUGCUCUCGGGUGACGAGUGGCGGACGGGUGAGUAACGUCUGGGAAACUGCCCGAUGGAGGGGGAUAACUACUGGAAACGGUAGCUAAUACCGCAUAACGUCGCAAGACCAAAGUGGGGGCCCGUCGGGCCUCACACCAUCGGAUGUGCCCAGAUGGGAUUAGCUAGUAGGUGGGGUAAUGGCUCACCUAGGCGACGAUCCCUAGCUGGUCUGAGAGGAGGACCAGCCACACGGGAACGGAGACACGGUCCGGACUCCUACGGGAGGCAGCAGGGGGGAAUAUUGCACAAUGGGCGCAAGCCUGAUGCAGCCAUGCCGCGUGGAUGAAGAAGGCCUUCGGGUUGUAAAGUACUUUCAGCGGGGAGGAAGGCGGUGAAGUUAAUAGCUUCACCGAUUGACGUUACCCGCAGAAGAAGCACCGGCUAACUCCGUGCCAGCAGCCGCCGUAA